rnacentral:rRNA from 1 species
UACGUAGGCAGCGAGCGUUGUUCGGAAUUACUGGGCGUAAAGAGUGUGUAGGCGGUGCUCUAAGUUCGGUGUGAAAUCUCCUGGCUCAACUGGGAGGGUGCGCCGGAAACUGGAGUGCUUGAGCGUGGGAGAGGAAAGCGGAAUUCCUGGUGUAGCGGUGAAAUGCGUAGAUAUCAGGAGGGAACACCUGUGGUGUAGACGGCUUUCUGGACCAUAGCUGACGCUGAGACACGAAAGCGUGGGUAGCAAACAGG